UACAACCCCAACCAACGCCACACACGUAUCGGCACCGCCUUCGGGGUGCUGUAGCCGCCCUUCUUCAAGCCACGGGCGCUACGGUCGAAGCCGGGGAUACGUGGAGGUCCCAAC
rnacentral:sRNA from 1 species